UGGGGAAUUUUGGACAAUGGGCGAAAGCCUGAUCCAGCAAUGCCGCGUGAGUGAAGAAGGCCUUCGGGUUGUAAAGCUCUUUUGUCAGGGAAGAAACGGUGAAAGCUAAUAUCUUUUGCUAAUGACGGUACCUGAAGAAUAAGCACCGGCUAACUACGUGCCAGCAGCCGCGGUAAUACGUAGGGUGCAAGCGUUAAUCGGAAUUACUGGGCGUAAAGCGUGCGCAGGCGGUUUUGUAAGUCUGAUGUGAAAUCCCCGGGCUCAACCUGGGAAUUGCAUUGGAGACUGCAAGGCUAGAAUCUGGCAGAGGGGGGUAGAAUUCCACGUGUAGCAGUGAAAUGCGUAGAUAUGUGGAGGAACACCGAUGGCGAAGGCAGCCCCCUGGGUCAAGAUUGACGCUCAUGCACGAAAGCGUGGGGAGCAAACAGGAUUAGAUACCCUGGUAGUCCACGCCCUAAGCGAUGUCUACUAGUUGUCGGGUCUUAAUUGACUUGGUAACGCAGCUAACGCGUGAAGUAGACCGUCUGGGGAGUACGGUCGCAAGAUUAAAACUCAAAUG
rnacentral:rRNA from 1 species